rnacentral:rRNA from 1 species
UACAGAGGUCUCAAGCGUUGUUCGGAUUCAUUGGGCGUAAAGGGUGCGUAGGGCUGGCGCGGUAAGUCCGGGGUGUGAAAUCUUGGAGCUUAACUCCGAAACUGCAUUCGAUACUGCCGUGCUUGAGGACUGGAGAGAGACUGGAAUUACGGUGUAGCGGUGAAAUGCGUAGAUAUCGUAAGGAAGACCAGUGGCGAAGGCGGGUCUCUGGACAGUUCCUGACGCUGAGGCACGAAGGCCAGGGAGCAAACGGG